GGGGGAGAGGGCCCGGCGCUGGCCUGUGGUUCCCCCGCUCCGCGGUUCCGCCCCCGUCGGCCGGGCCCGCAGUCCAGAGUAGCCGGUUCUGCCGUCCUGGGGCGGGGGACGUUUUUUGGACAGUGGGGUAAACUGAGGCCCGAUAGGGGCGCUAGGCACUGCCCGGAGUCCGGCGCGCACGGAUUGAGGCGACCUGAUUCCGCCGCAUCCUGGCCCGCGCGGCGAGGGUGGUCUCUGGGCUCGGGACCCUGACCUCUGGCCCUGGGGGCCGUGCACCGGCAGCGCAGGAUUCAGCCUUUUUCCAACUGGCCCUGAGACCACUUUUGCGACUGACCCCCGGAGCCUCUACCACCUGGGCUCAAGCAAUCCUCCCACCUCGGCCUCCCAAGUAGCUGGAACUACAGGUAGCCCCAAAUCCAAGCAUCCUUAUAAGAGAGAGACAGAGGGAGAUUUAAGAGACAGAAGAGGAGGAGGUGAUCUGAUUACAGAGGCGGAGACGGGUAAUGCCCAUGCGCCCGAGUUCCCCCGGCAGCCACUGGAAGCUGGAGAGGUGAGGAGUCGCCCCAGGAGGCCCCGAGGGAGCUGGAUUUUGGACUGCGGCCUCCAGAACUCCAGAGAGAAUGAAUGUCUGCUGUUCUCAGCACCCCUCCGUGGUCCUCUGUCACGGCAGCCGCGGGACCCUCACGCACUGUCUGGGCCGUCCCUUCCAGCGUGUCGGGCGUUGUGUCCAGCACUGGGGACCGCCCGCAGGCGUGACUUGAGCCCUGUUUCCAGCCUCUGCGCGGGGUUGCCCAGACGCCCCUCCAGGGCGCGACACCACUGCCCCCUGGUGGCCGCGGCUGCCCAGACACCCUCUCCUCGCAGACCCAGCACGGCCAGCACUUGGGA